UAUGUGAACUUGGAUUACUGUAUGGAAAUGGAGGAGUGAGAAAGUGUGGGAAUCAUAAAAGAAGGCAGAACCAAAAGACAGAGGGAUCUUGGGCCAUGAGUCACAGCAAGGAAAGCCUCCCACCAAACAUCUGCACUGGACUCCUACAGGAACAAGAAAUGAACUAUCGUGUUCAGCCCCUGAGACUUGGGCUUAACAUGAUUUUCACAUUGUCUACCCUACCUAAUAGAGCAGAGAUGUAAAUAUUAUUCUUAUUUUAGAGGUAAG
rnacentral:lncRNA from 10 species